ensembl:lncRNA
UCCUGCUCUUCGGCGUCGACAAAGUCUGACUCGGGUGCUAGCCAGACUCCCACGCCCUCCUCCCCGCUCUCGCCCAUCACGGAGGGCUCCAGUCCACUGCGCAUAGAAAGAAAGCUGAGCAUCGAGAUCAAGAAGGUGCCGUUGCAGGGAGGCCCGCGUAGCUUUGACACGGCUAACUCUUUGGGGAUCCAAAGCCCCGCUUCCUCCGCGAACAGUGCGAGCAUGCUCCAGCGAAGCCACGCCUUCAAAACCCGAACCGGACCCGCCGUUUUGACGUCGAGCUCGUCGCUUUCCGAGGAUUCGGGGACGGAGGCGGGAGCGGGAGCGGGGUCGUUCGGUGACAGCAGAGAAGAGGCCGUCCUGGCACGACCGAACCAUCUACCGGUAAAGAGUAGCGAUAAAGGGGAGGGCUUGGAUGUCAAAAGCGGGCACGCGGCGUGGAGUCAGCCGUGCUCCAGCCCGGAGAAAAACCUGUCCAAGUCGUCGUCCUCGUCGUCCGACCGUGUCCCGCAGAGCUCCUCCUGCUCCUCGCACCUGUCCUCCUCCACCUCCUCGUCUUCCUCCACGCCCGUCCGGACCGCGCUGAGCUUCACCAACCCGCUGCACUCGGACAACUCGGACGAAGAGGCGGACGCGGAGAUGGUCGGCGUAUCCUCCUCCUCCUCGUCUCAACAUCAUCAUCACGCCACCAACGUCUCCACAGCGAUGGUCGCCAUGGUGACCGGCGACCAGCAGCCGCCCGUCAGGAAGGCGACGCCCAUGUCCGUUGCGGGGCUGGUCACGCCGACCCAGAAUCCCGCAAAUCCGUUAGAGAUAAAGACGGCCUCUGCGGAGUGGAGCACUUCACAGAAAGACGCGUCCGUUUCCGUAAAGAAGACGUCUCCCGCUGAGCCUGCGCUUCCCGAAGCCACCGCCACAUCGCAGACGACAGACGGCAGGGCAGAGCUGGGUGGGUAAGUGCUGACCAAACUGUAAGCACAGACACUUCAUUUUGUCCUGAAACUACAUGUCCUGACCCU